GACGAACGCUGGCGGCGUGCUUAACACAUGCAAGUCGAACGCUGAAGCACCAGCUUGCUGGUGUGGAUGAGUGGCGAACGGGUGAGUAAUACGUGAGUAACCUGCCCUUGACUCUGGGAUAAGCCCGGGAAACUGGGUCUAAUACUGGAUGCUACAUGUCACCGCAUGGUGGUGUGUGGAAAGGGUUUACUGGUCUUGGAUGGGCUCACGGCCUAUCAGCUUGUUGGUGAGGUAAUGGCUCACCAAGGCGACGACGGGUAGCCGGCCUGAGAGGGUGACCGGCCGCACUGGGACUGAGACACGGCCCCGACUCCUACGGGAGGCAGCAGUGGGGAAUAUUGCACCAUGGGCGAAAGCCUGAUGCAGCGACGCCGCGUGAGGGAUGACGGCCUUCGGGUUGUAAACCUCUUUCAGCAGGGAAGAAGCCACAAGUGACGGUACCUGCAGAAGAAGCGCCGGCUAACUACGUG
rnacentral:rRNA from 1 species